UGAGCUUGAAGAAAUUGUUAUCAUUAUACAGUUUUGGUUAUUGUUUUACUUUUUUCCCCUAUGCUUGGCAACUAAAAAUAAGUUAAUGCCUGAAAUUUAGAAAACUGAAAUGCAGUUAUGACUCUGGGACCAAAUGCAGUAUUGUUCACAUUGAUGUCUUAUCUCAAACGGCAAACAUGAAUAGAUGACUAAGAAGAACAGUGAUGAGGCAAGCAUAUACUGUGUUUUGCAAGGUCCACUGUCCACUAAGCUGUGUAAUGCACCUCACUGCUAAAAUAUGAACACCAAUCACCUAGAUGGAUGCCAUCCAAAACAAGGUCUAAUGAGACUGCUUGAAGGAAAACAGGUCAAAGGUGAGUUUAUUAUGGCUAUGAAUAACAAAGUGUUCAGUUCACUGAACAUGUAAUACAGUGCCAUAUUUGGACACAAGAUGAUACAGUAAAUGCAAUGAAACAGCUUAAUAAAACAUUAAGAUUGUACAGUUAUGUACUUAGAAGUCAGGAGGCUAAUAUUUGUCUUCGUUGCAUCUAUACAUAUAUACAUAUCAGUAUAUAAAAUAUGUGUAUUUUGCUCCAAAAGUAAUGCCUCCUAUUGUUUUUUCCAUGGAAAUUGUGACGGAUACAAAGAGCACAGUAAUACUAUUUGAUAGAGAAAAUUCUAAGCUACAAAAAACUAUUUUUCAAUAUAGUCAUCACCAUUAGCUACGCAUUUUCACGACCAACGAAGAAGAGCCUGCAAGCUGUGCAUUUAGAAAAUCUUCAUGGCCAUCUGGAUCAUGGCUUGUCUUUCACAUUACUGUUGCCACUGCUGAAACACAUCACCUACCACUUGGCUGUGCUAAUAUCCACUGUUUGCUCUCCAUAAACGUUCGACAAGCAUCAAUGAAUUUCAGUGGGUGCAAUUUUUUACACAUGGAGGAGUUCAACUGCGCACCUUUUCUUCAUGUGCAUUUCCAUGUCAGAUGUCAUUUUGACAGACUGCCCCUCUACUGUCAUCUGACAACAUAAUUUAAUGAUAUAUUGGUGUGAAGGUCCAACUUCUACUGCCAUACCACCAAUAUAUGCCUCUGACAUCAUGUGUCAAUAGAAUAAAAUAGGAGGCAUUACAUUUGGAGCAAUGCUUAUAUUUUCUAAAAUAUGUGUGUCACUUAAUAAACAAGAGUUUGUGACAUUAGCAUCAUGUUUUAGUAUUCACUAAGGCAUUACUGCAGUCCUAUCUUAACUAUACACAUUUAAAAGUUUUUCACAUUUCUUAAGUCAGUUUCUACCAGAAUACAAGUUGUAGCAAGGAUACAAUUUGUCUUUUAUCUCCUGUGAAGCAAGUGAAUAGGAAGAAAAUUGAGAAUGGAUAUUAAGAUGUUAGACAUGACUACUUAUAUGUGCCUGACAUAAUAGCUAUGAGAAAACAGGAAGGACAAGCUGUUUAAAAAAGGACAGUGAAGUAAUUUACAACUAUAUUUUAGAAGAGAUAUACAGUAUUACAAAUGUAAAGGAUAAAGUUUUUGCUUCUGGGAAAAUAAUUUAAAAUUAUAUAUACUAUACAUAAUGUGUAUAUAUAUACGCAUUAUGCUCUCUUUUUAUUGCAAUGUAGAUUAAUGUUCCUGUAAGAGUUUUAAUCUUCUUAAACAUUUUGCUUGUGCUGGCACUGGUGUUAUUGAGGUCAUGCUGGGAUCUAUAUCAGGUAAAUAAUUUGUCUGAUAAUUAACCUUGCCCCAACCCCUCCCCCAAGAUCAGAUUUUCUCAGCAGCAUAUUUUUAGACUGAACUGUGUCUGUGGAUCCUAGAAGCUCGUAGCUGAAUGCUCACAAUCACAGUUUAGCUUACACAUUUGCGGUGAACAACUUCUACUACACCAUUAAAUUCAAAUUAAGAAAAUUUUCUACAAUUUAUCAAUUAAAUGUAGUGUGUGGGAGAAACAAUACUGGAUUGUAAGAAGAAAAACUGUUAGACAUUACAGCUAACUGCAUAAAUACAUCACAUAAAGUAAUGCCAGUUUUUACUUACAAGUUUUGUUCUUGGUUGACCUGGGCUCAUAUAUUAUGACAGUUUUCAUCCCUCUUUACAACUCCCUAGUCUGCAGUAGAAAAACAUAAAAGAAUAAAAAAAAAAAGACUCCUUCUUUUACAGUAGAAAAUGCUUUGUGUACUAAAUGUAAGCAGAACUGAACCAAACUGAACAGUGAAAAGUCAGCCAUGAAGCUAUAAUAACUCUUAGCAACAACUGCUUUUUGUAUUCACUGGGAUCUGGAACAAACAAGGCCCUUCCACAUUUGCUUCUCAACGCAGCAUGGAAAACGUGUAGUAUGUCAGUGAACUCAUUGGCAGAGAUUAGUUACUGAGAAGUACAAUUCAUCAGUAUCAAGACAAGAAUAAAACUUCAAAAUGCAUCUAUAUUUUCUUCCCCCUUAUAUAAGAAGUGUAUCAGUAGCACAGUGAUUUGUGCUAAGGGUUUUAGGCUCCCAAUCCUGGAUCACUCUACUGCAGUUAUGUUGUUACUUCUGAAACCUCAGUCACAGUGGAUUUUACAAAGAAUAUUUUGUGGCUCUAUGAAAAAUAAAUAAAUUAAAAUAAACAAGGUGGUUUGUAGACUGUUCUCAGAAACCAAGGCCAACCAUCAUAGUUGUUCAUAUGAUUCAGUUCCCAAUCUCCCAAACUGGCUGGCUUCAUUUAAGCCACCUGUUUUGAGGAAUCCCUCACUCAUGCUUGAGAAAGUGAAGUGCUGUUCAGCCUAAACAAAAUACAUGAUGGGGACUGCACUAACAGCAUGAUUAUCAAGUUCCAGUUAGAGAAAUGACCUACAGCAUAAUUUAAUUUACUGGGAUAGGUACAACGUUGUCCUAGAUUGGGGUGGGAUAUAGUUAAUUUUCUUCCUAGUAGCUGAUAUGGUGCUGUGUUUUAGAUUUAGGAUGAUAACAAUGUUGAUAACAUGCAGAUGUUUUAGUUGUUGCUGAGCAGUUCUUAUACUAAGUCAAGGACACAGCAGCAUCUCAUACUGCCCUACAAGCAAGGAGGCUGGGAGUGCACAGGGAGCUGAGAGAGGACUCAGUGAGGACAGCUGGUGUAAAGUGGCCAAAGUGAUAUUCCAUAUCAUAUAAUGCUAUGCUUAACAAUAAAACUGGGAGUGUUGGCCAAGGAGGGCAGCUGAUGGUUGGGGUGUUGCUGGGUAUUGGACAAAUGGUGGUGAGAAAUUGUGUUGUGCAUUGUUUGCUUUGUUUAAUUUUUUUGCAGUUGUUAUUGUUGUUGUUUAUUCUUUCCUCUUUUUUUUUUUUUAAAUUUUAAUUUCUUUCUUUCUUAUUAAAAUAUUCUUAUCCCAAUCUAUGGGUUCUCUUCAAUUUUGUCCCCCGUCACACUGUGGGUGUUGGCAGAGAGCAAAUGGCUACGUGGCAUUCAGCUGUCUGAUGAGCUAAACAAUUUAAACGCAUACUUUUAUGUGUCUGUUGGCAGAUAAAAACCUGAGAUUCUCCGGGAUUUCAAGAACCCAGAAAAUGAGUUAGUCUAAAGCAGACACUCAUCUCCUGGUUAACUUCAGAAAGACAGGAAACAUUUAAAAAUCCCCAGAUCCAAGAUUUUCAAGAAGUUUUGAGGCUUUGUCAAGUAAAUUUGCUGUAAAUCUCAAAAUUAUUUGAUUUAAAACAAUCACGUAUGUUAUCAUCCUCCAUAAUGGAGAUGUCCAAAAGUUAUUAAGCUCAGUUCUUCUGAUACUAAUCAGCAAAACUUCUACUGACAGAAAUAAACUUCCAUAAAUGAAAUAAAAAUUAGAAAAAUUAUAAGCAAUUACAAGAUAACUUAUGCUAGUCUGAUAUAAAGUUAACCCAAGCCUUUAAAUAAAAGUACUGGCUGCUGAAAGAUGUGAGACAGCAUAAAAGUAAAAAAGGGUAUUUGAUAAUCUGUACAUAUUUCUAUUUCCUAUUUUCCAUUUCAUUUUUUCUACUCAGCCACUGUUACAAAAUAAAAUAAUGGGAAAAAUA